rnacentral:rRNA from 1 species
UACAGAGGUCCCAAGCGUUGUUCGGAUUCACUGGGCGUAAAGGGUGCGUAGGCGGACUUCUAAGUACCUUGUGAAAUCCCACGGCUUACCCGUGGAACUGCUCGGUAUACUGGUUGUCUUGAGCUUUCUAGGGGCGAGCGGAACAAUGGUGGAGCGGUGAAAUGCGUAGAUAUCAUUUGGAACGCCAAUGGUGAAAACAGCUCGCUGGGGAAAUGCUGACGCUGAGACACGAAAGCCAGGGGAGCGAACGGG